CAGUUGUCCAUGGGAUCGCUAAAGGCACACGUAAGAAGCAAAGGAGCAAGCUACGACUUCUGCAGGGCAGGCGAAGAGUGGGGAAGGUGUUGUGAAGGCCGUGAAAACAGAUCCAACAUUCAACUAUGUACAUGACCUCAUGAGGCUGCUCAUGGAGGUUUUUGAGGACCCAACAUCAUUUGAAGAGGAAAUGAAGACUAUCCCCAUCCCUCCAGACCUUUCAGCGGAAUAUACACACACUCCCAAGGCUGAGCUGGUUGCCUGUCACGUCUCCCGCUUCAAUCAAGAGGUGGUCUGAAGCCUACGAAGUCACCAGAUGGGAACUGCUGCCAUAUCCGCUGCACCACACAUGACGGGAUGACGACCCGACAACUAUGUCCUAAAUAUCCCCAACACCAGGUUACAAAGCUGCGAUAGGCAAGAUGCCUGAAACGCCUAAGGGACAAGGAGCGGAACUUUCUGUUAAACUGUUUUCAACAAUAACCUCUUAU
ensembl:lncRNA